ensembl:Y_RNA Y_RNA Y RNA
GGCUGGUCUGAGUGCAGUGGUGCUUACAACUAAUUGAUCACAAUUCAUUACAGAUUACUUUAUUCCUAUCCACUCCCAUUGCUUCACUUGACUAGCCUUUA